UGGCUUUUGUGGGGUGCUCCGAGUGGCGAACGGGUGAGUAACACGUGAGUAACCUGCCCUUGACUUUGGGAUAACUUCAGGAAACUGGGGCUAAUACCGGAUAGGAGCUCCUGCUGCAUGGUGGGGGUUGGAAAGUUUCGGCGGUUGGGGAUGGACUCGCGGCUUAUCAGCUUGUUGGUGGGGUAGUGGCUUACCAAGGCUUUGACGGGUAGCCGGCCUGAGAGGGUGACCGGCCACAUUGGGACUGAGAUACGGCCCAGACUCCUACGGGAGGCAGCAGUGGGGAAUAUUGCACAAUGGGCGGAAGCCUGAUGCAGCAACGCCGCGUGCGGGAUGACGGCCUUCGGGUUGUAAACCGCUUUCGCCUGUGACGAAGCGUGAGUGACGGUAAUGGGUAAAGAAGCACCGGCUAACUACGUGCCAGCAGCCGCGGUGAUACGUAGGGUGCGAGCGUUGUCCGGAUUUAUUGGGCGUAAAGGGCUCGUAGGUGGUUGAUCGCGUCGGAAGUGUAAUCUUGGGGCUUAACCCUGAGCGUGCUUUCGAUACGGGUUGACUUGAGGAAGGUAAGGGAGAAUGGAAUUCCUGGUGGAGCGGUGGAAUGCGCAGAUAUCAGGAGGAACACCAGUGGCGAAGGCGGUUCUCUGGGCCUUUCCUGACGCUGAGGAGCGAAAGCGUGGGGAGCGAACAGGCUUAGAUACCCUGGUAGUCCACGCUGUAAACG
rnacentral:rRNA from 1 species